rnacentral:rRNA from 1 species
GCCAUCUCCUAUCUGGUUGAUCCUGCCAGUAGUCAUACGCUCGUCUCAAAGAUUAAUCCAUGCAUGUGUAAGUAUAAAUAGUUAACUUUGAAACUUAGAAUGUCUCAUUAUAUCAGUUAUAGUUUAUUAGAUGAAGAAUAAUAAUUGGAUAACCGUAGUAAUUAUAGAUCUAAUACAUGUAUAAAGUGUUGUAGUUUGCAUUUAAUAGAAUGACAACCAUAGGUUUCGGGAUAUUCAGGAGUAAUAAUAACUAAUCAUAUCGUAUGCUUAUGUAGCGAUGUUUCUAUUAAUUUUCUCCCCUAUCAUCUUUGGAUGGUAGUGUACUGCCCUCGCAUGGCAGUGUCGGGUAGAAAAGAGUUUGGGUUCCAUUGGGGAGAGGGAGCGAGAGAGAUGCCCCUCACACGCAAGGAACACAGCAGCCAAGUAAACCAUCCUAUCCCCGCGCAGGGAGGUAGUGACAAUAAAUCACAAUGCGCCUCAAGGUUUUGCAAUUGGAAUGAGAACAACGUACAACCCUUAUCGAUAAACCAUUGGAGGGCAAGUCUGGUGCCAGCAGCCGCGGUAAUCCAGCUCCAAAAGCA